AUUGAACGCUGGCGGCAGGCCUAACACAUGCAAGUCGAACGGUAACAGGAAGAAGCUUGCUUCUUUGCUGACGAGUGGCGCACGUGUGUGUAAUGUCUGUGAAACUGCCUGAUGGCGGGGGUUAACUACUGGAAACGGUAGCUAAUACCGCUUAACUUUGCAACACCAAAGAGCGGGACUUUCGGGCCUCUUGCCUUCGGAUGUGCCCAGAUGGGAUUAGCUAGUAGGUGGGGUAACGGCUCACCUAGGCGACGAUCCCUAGCUGGUCUGAGAGGUUGACCAGCCACACUGGAACUGAGACACGGUCCAGACUCCUACGGGAGGCAGCAGUGGGGAAUAUUGCACAAUGGGCGAAAGCCUGAUGCAGCCAUGCCGCGUGUAUGAAGAAGGCUUUCGGGUUGUAAAGUACUUUCAGCGGGGAGGAAGGGAGUAAAGUUAAUACCUGUACUCAUUGACGGUACCCGCAGAAGAAGCACCGGCUAACUACGUG
rnacentral:rRNA from 1 species